GCGGAAAUCGUCUAGUGGCAGGACCCCAGCUUGUGGCGCUGUUAACCUCGGUUCGAUUCCGAGUUUCCGCA
rfam:Plasmodiophora brassicae isolate e3 genome assembly, contig: scaffold_25